AAAAGGGCUUUUAUCAAAGCCAACAACAAUAUAAAUGACAGGUUA
rfam:Acyrthosiphon pisum strain LSR1 Contig10188, whole genome shotgun sequence.